UUUUAAGCAUUAUGUUGUAGGUACUUCAUGUGCUAUUACAGAAGAUUUAUUACCAUUAAAAAACUACUUCUUCAAAUGAGAAAACUGACAGCUGAGAGUUUGAAGAAAUCUGCCAAUUUUACAAGUGAAUAAAUGUUAGCGCUCACAUUCAAACUCAGAACUUUAGGAUUCCUUGGAAAUCCUUCAACAUGCUCCUUAGGGAUGACGGAUACCUACUGGGUGGAGUCCUCUCCUUCUUGAGACAACUUUUCAACCAGAGUAGCGAUUGUAGAUGAAUUCCUAACCCCUGGUACCUGUGAAUGUGACUUUAUUUGGAAAUAGGAUCUUUGCAGAUGUAAUCAAGUUAAAAUGAGUGUCGGCCCUAAUCCAAUAACUGAUAUCCAUAUAAGAAGAGGGAUAUUUGGACUUAGACACAGAGGAGACACAGUGGGGAGAACACCAUGUGAAGAUGGAGACAGAAAUUGAAGUGAUGGAUCUAAAAGCCAAGGAAUACCAAAGAGGAAUGGCAAACACGAGAAGCUAAGAGAGAAGCAUGGAACAGAUUCUUACUCAGGGCCUCCAGAAGGAACCAACCUACUGACACCUGGAUUUCAGAAUUCUAGUCUCCAGAACUGUGAGAGAAUAAAUUUAUACCAUUUUAAGUGACUCGGUUUGUGGCAUUUUGUUAUGGCAGUCCUAGAAAACUAAAACAGUAGCUUUCCUUUGAUUUGUCUUAUGUCUGCAUAACAUGACACUUGCAGGAAGAAUUGACUUAUUUGUGAAAUGUUUAGAAACCGUGACUCUCUUCCAUUGAUGGCGGUGGUAGGUGAGGAAAAGCAGUGGGGCUCUUUGCCUCUGAAUAAAACUCUUUUGUUAGAGUAGCAGUAUGUUCUAAGUAUUUUACAGUAUUUCUAGUAAUGUGUUUUUUCAUUUGAUAAAUUUUAAUUACUGUUCCCUGUCCUCGCUUCCAUGGUCCAUUCUCUGUACAGCUGGGACAAAUUACAAUUUCAAUGAUACUACGUUAUACUGUGCUCAAAACCACUCACCUUCACAGACACCCUAGCUAAUGGACCAAGGAAGUGCUUUGACUCUCCUUUCUUUCAAAUGAGUUCCUUUCCAGAAUAGUAUACUGCCUGGGAAGCUAAGCAGGAGCCAUUAUUCCCAGACUGUUCUGGGGCCACUCAUCAAUCCCAAAAGGCCCAGCCAUGUUUUUUACUACAAGGUGCAUGAAGUUCUUAUGGAAAUAAAACCAGUAGGCCCACCUUCCACUCCUGCCCCUUAAGGCAUGCCUUGAAUAUGUUUUUUCACAUAUUACUAGAAAUCACUGGAAAAAAAUUUAGGUAGUAUGCAAAAUUUUGUUUUAGACACCAUGAAUAAAGAUAAGUUGCUGUUUCGUUUGUAAGGAAAAAGCAGGCAGCAUUAUUGUAUAAUCUUAUUUAAGGGCAGUGUAUCAUUUCCAAAUCCAGGAAGUCAUAGUUUCCUACUGGUACUGGCUAAAAAGCAGUAGUUGAAUGGAUUAGUAGAGCUAAUUAGAUCCAUUUAAAAUUAUUGUUUUUACUCUUUUCAAUUAAGAGUAUAUUUAUUUUCUUAGUAAUAUUUCAACACAGCAAUUAUAGUUUAAAUAAACAAGUGAAAGAAUGCAGACACUUAUUCAAAAGAGAUGCUCAUAACAUUGUUUUAAAUUCUUAAAAUUUAUAGCUGUGUUCAGUGAAUUCCAGUGGGAUUUAGUGAGUUUAUUUCCUUUUUGGUUUUAAUUAGGAAACCCUACUGGAAUUGUGGAUAGCUGUACAAGCUAGAGGAAUGGGUAUGUUUUACUUGAUUAUAUUGGAUGUUAGUGAUUUUUUCUUUAAUAAAAUUUCAGUGAUGUUAUGGUAUUAGUUGAGGUUUCUUUUUUUCUUAAGAAUGGUAGAAAUGAAACCAAAUAUUUACUUAAAGACAUUUUGAAUGUUGCAAAAGUAUGUGCUUAUUGAGAAAGUUGAGUUUUCUCUAAGAAAAAACCUCUAACUUCUAUGUUUUGACUGCAUAUCAGUUUGAGAUUGGGGCCUUGUGAAACUCCAACUAAACAAAAUAAGUAUUCAGAAAAACAUUCUUUUAUUUGUGGUGGUGAGCAGAGGCAAGACAGAGGGGAAAGGGCUUGGAAUAGAUGAACAAUUUGCUUAGAUUUUCUAGAAGGGCCACUUAGAAACUGUUAGGAGCAUGGACUCAGCCACGAAACUUAGGAUCCUCAGUGAUUCAUGGUCAUUUUGGGGUUUCAACAGAAACUUUGUUCCUGCAUAAUUGUUGCUCUCUGACUGUGUAUAUAUAUAUUUAUAUAAAAUUGGUAUAUAAUAAUUAUUAUACGUAAUACAUAUAUUAGCUCUGCAGCUUCCCAAAAGAUGGCAGUUGACAUCCUAUGUCUUGCCUCCUUCAUCCUGAAUCCCACACUGAUUGCCCUAAGCACAGUACCUCAUGAACUUUCUCCUCUUGAAUUCUCACAUUUCUGUCCUACUUGGACCUACUUUUACCAGAGUUGACUGACGACUUCCUUUGCUUACCCCCACCCUGUCCUCACUAUUAGCCCUUAUGCAUGCCAGGUCUUUAGGCCACAAUUCCAUUAUAAAAAGCUCUCGUAGAUAUUGACUUUUCCCUUCUCCUCUUUCAUUUCAUUGACUUAACCUAAAUGUAGAUCAUUAGAUUCUGGAGGAAAAAGGGAUCUUAAGGAUCAAUUUACCUCACUUGAUGAAGGCUAUAUAGCAUUUCGAAGUUACACAGCUGUACAGGAACACUGCUAGAAGUACUUGUACUACAUAUUCCUCUCACAUUUGUUAAUAUAAUCAUUUAUAAUAAUACUUUAUAUCUUAGAUUAUUAAGGCAUAAGAUAAUAGUAGAAAUAAAUCUGAUAGUG